rnacentral:rRNA from 1 species
UGGCGAACGGGUGAGUAACGCGUUGGUGACCUGCCCCGAAGAGAGGGAUAACAGCUUGAAAGGGCUGCUAAUACCUCAUGUGAUCUCUAGGAUUAGAUGCCUGUUGAUUAAAUGGAUUUAUUCGCUUCGGGAGGGGCCUGCGUCCCAUCAGCUAGUUGGUAGGGUAAUGGCCUACCAAGGCUAUGACGGGUAGGGGACCUGAGAGGGUGACCCCCCACACUGACACUGAAACACGGGUCAGACACCUACGGGUGGCAGCAGUAGGGAAUAUUGGUAAUGGGCGAAAGCCUGAACCAGCAACGCCGCGUGCGCGAUGAAGGCCUUCGGGUUGUAAAGCGCUUUUUGAGGGGAUGAGGAAGGACAGUACCCUCAGAACAAGCCUCGGCUAACUACGUGCCAGCAGCCGCGGUAAAACGUAGGAGGCAAGCGUUAUUCGGAUUUACUGGGCGUAAAGCGCGUGCAGGCGGUUCGGUAAGUUGGAUGUGAAAGCUCCUGGCUCAACUGGGAGAGGUCGUUCAAUACUGUCGGACUAGAGGAUGAGAGAGGGAGGUGGAAUUCCGGGUGUAGUGGUGGAAUGCGUAGAUAUCCGGAGGAACACCAGUGGCGAAGGCGGCCUCCUGGCUCAUUUCUGACGCUAAGACGCGAAAGCUAGGGUAGCAAACGGGAUUAGAGACCCCGGUAGUCCUAGCUGUAAACGAUGUAGACUUGGCGUUGG